rnacentral:rRNA from 1 species
UACGGGGGGGCAAGCGUUGUUCGGAAUUACUGGGCGUAAAGGGCUUGUAGGUGGCCAACUAAGUCAGACGUGAAAUCCCUCGGCUUAACCGGGGAACUGCGUCUGAUACUGGAUGGCUUGAGUUUGGGAGAGGGAUGCGGAAUUCCAGGUGUAGCGGUGAAAUGCGUAGAUAUCCGGAGGAACACCGGCGGCGAAGGCGGUGCUCUGGGCCAGUAUUGACGCUGAGGAGCGAAAGCGUGGGUAGCAAACAGG